rnacentral:misc_RNA from 1 species
GAUGAAGAACGUAGUGAAAUGCGAUAAAUAAUGUGAAUUGCAGAAUUCCGUGAAUCAUCGAGUUUUUGAACGCACAUUGCACUCCUUGGUAGCCCGAGGAGUACGCCUGUUCGAGUGUCAUAACACCUCUCAAGCCCUGCUUGGUAUUGAGACGACUGCUGUUAUCCGUAGCGGCAGGUCUCUAAAGACAUUGGCGAUGCACCUAAAUAGUGUAGACUCACUGAAUCUCACUGGUUAUUUGGGCAUCUUGCCACAACCAACUUUUGACAUGAGGAGGGGGUGACCCCGAAUCGACCCAAAGUUGACCUCGGAUCAGGCGGGGAUACCCGCUGAACUUAAGCAUAUCAAUAAGCGGAGGA